rnacentral:rRNA from 1 species
GUUUGAUCCUGGCUCAGAUUGAACGCUGGCGGCAUGCCUUACACAUGCAAGUCGAACGGCAGCACGGAGCUUGCUCUGGUGGCGAGUGGCGAACGGGUGAGUAAUAUAUCGGAACGUACCCUGGAGUGGGGGAUAACGUAGCGAAAGUUACGCUAAUACCGCAUACGAUCUAAGGAUGAAAGUGGGGGAUCGCAAGACCUCAUGCUCCUGGAGCGGCCGAUAUCUGAUUAGCUAGUUGGUAGGGUAAAAGCCUACCAAGGCAUCGAUCAGUAGCUGGUCUGAGAGGACGACCAGCCACACUGGAACUGAGACACGGUCCAGACUCCUACGGGAGGCAGCAGUGGGGAAUUUUGGACAAUGGGGGCAACCCUGAUCCAGCAAUGCCGCGUGAGUGAAGAAGGCCUUCGGGUUGUAAAGCUCUUUUGUCAGGGAAGAAACGGUGUGGGCUAAUAUCUCAUGCUAAUGACGAUACCUGAAGAAUAAGCACCGGCUAACUACGUGCCAGCAGCCGCGGUAAUACGUAGAGUGCAAGCGUUAAUCGGAAUUACUGGGCGUAAAGCGUGCGCAGGCGGUUUUGUAAGACUGUCGUGAAAUCCCCGGGCUCAACCUGGGAAUGGCGAUGGUGACUGCAAGGCUAGAGUUUGGCAGAGGGGGGUAGAAUUCCACGUGUAGCAGUGAAAUGCGUAGAUAUGUGGAGGAACACCGAUGGCGAAGGCAGCCCCCUGGGUCAAAACUGACGCUCAUGCACGAAAGCGUGGGGAGCAAACAGGAUUAGAUACCCUGGUAGUCCACGCCCUAAACGAUGUCUACUAGUUGUCGGGUUUUAAUUAACUUGGUAACGCAGCUAACGCGUGAAGUAGACCGCCUGGGGAGUACGGUCGCAAGAUUAAAACUCAAAGGAAUUGACGGGACCCGCAC